rnacentral:rRNA from 1 species
CAACUUUCAACAACGGAUCUCUUGGUUCUGGCAUCGAUAAAGAACGCAGCGAAAUGCGAUAAGUAGUGUGAAUUGCAGAAUUCAGUGAAUCAUCGAAUCUUUGAACGCACAUUGCGCCCUUUGGUAUUCCAAAGGGCAUGCCUGUUCGAGCGUCAUU